rnacentral:rRNA from 1 species
CACGUAGGGGGCGAGCGUUGUCCGGAUUUAUUGGGCGUAAAGAGCUCGUAGGCGGUUUCGUAAGUCGGAUGGGAAAACUCCAGGCUCAACUUGGAGACGCCAUUCGAUACUGCGAUGACUUGAGUCCGGUAGGGGAGUGUGGAAUUCCUGGUGUAGCGGUGAAAUGCGCAGAUAUCAGGAGGAACACCGGCGGCGAAGGCGGCACUCUGGGCCGGUACUGACGCUGAGGAGCGAAAGCGUGGGUAGCAAACAGG